UACGUAGGGGGCUAGCGUUGUCCGGAAUCAUUGGGCGUAAAGAGCGUGUAGGCGGUCCGGUAAGUCCGUUGUGAAAGUCAGGGGCUCAACCCUGGGAUGCCGGUCGAUACUGCCGGACUAGAGUUCGGAAGAGGCGAGUGGAAUUCCCGGUGUAGCGGUGAAAUGCGCAGAUAUCGGGAGGAACACCAAUGGCGAAGGCAGCUCGCUGGGACGUUACUGACGCUGAGACGCGAAAGCGUGGGGAGCAAACAGG
rnacentral:rRNA from 1 species